AUCGCUUCUCGGCCUUUUGGCUAAGAUCAAGUGUAGUAUCUGUUCUUAUCAGUUUAAUAAAACAGAAAUGUGAAAAACCCUCCAUUCUCUUUGAAAAAAUAGAGGAGUGUGGAUAUUUCCU
rnacentral:snRNA from 1 species